rnacentral:rRNA from 1 species
UACGGAGGAUGCGAGCGUUAUCCGGAUUUAUUGGGUUUAAAGGGUGCGUAGGCGGACUGUCAAGUCAGCGGUAAAAUUGAGAGGCUCAACCUCUUCCCGCCGUUGAAACUGGUGGUCUUGAGUGGAUGAGAAGUACGCGGAAUGCGUGGUGUAGCGGUGAAAUGCAUAGAUAUGACGCAGAACUCCGAUUGCGAAGGCAGCGUACCGGCAUCCAACUGACGCUGAGGCACGAAAGCGUGGGGAUCAAACAGG